CGAUCCAAGCUUUGGGCACUGACCCCCACAUUGGCCCGAUCCAUGCAUAGGUUUAUGACUUCAUCAUUAGUGUUCCCAUGCAUAAAUCACCAAUACACACUUAGGCCUCUAAUCCUCACAUCGGCAAAUGACCUCCAUCUUCGCACAUAUCAAGUUGCCUAUCUACACAUCGAUCAUUGACUCAUCAUCAAAGUAACCUCCAAGC
rnacentral:lncRNA from 1 species